UUAAAGUAAGCAUGCUUAAGAAGAGGAUUUAUAGCCUCAAGAAAACGUGACAUUAUACUGCAUUUGUAAAUAAUUAUUACAUAUGUAUACAGAGUUUUAAGGAUAAUCUUUUUCCCAUUUUAAUGAAAACUCUGCAAUGUUUGAUGGGUAAAUAAUAUGGGGGAAACUCUUUGUUGCUGGGCUUGUGUAUUCAUGUCUGGUACAGCUAUAUUGCUGAUGAUUCUGUCCCUUUACCUAGGUCUGAUACCACAACUUAUAGGGGUUGCUCCAGAAAAGGCCAUUAAACUGACUGUAAGUUUAUCUCUAACUGAAUUUAUGUCAUUUGUUUAGAUUACCAUUAAGCCAAAAAGCUAAAAUCAAGGCUAGGCGUGGUAGCUCAUGCCUAUAAUCUCAGCAUU
rnacentral:lncRNA from 10 species